UGCUACAGAUUAACCGUAUAGUAAGAA
rnacentral:piRNA from 1 species